rnacentral:rRNA from 1 species
UGACGUAACGCGGUAGGGAAUCUCGUCCCGUUGGUUCGGAAUAACAGUUAGAAAUGACUGCUAAUACCGAAUGAUGUCUUCGGACCAAAGAUUUAUCGCCCAAGGAUGAGCCCGCGUCGGAUUAGCUAGUUGGUGAGGUUAAAAGGCUCACCAAGGCGACGAUCCGUAGCUGGUCUGAGAGGAUGAUCAGCCACACUGGGACUGAGACACGGCCCAGACUCCUACGGGAGGCAGCAGUGGGGAAUAUUGGACAAUGGGCGAAAGCCUGAUCCAGCAAUGCCGCGUGAGUGAUGAAGGCCUUAGGGUUGUAAAGCUCUUUUACCCGGGAUGAUAAUGACAGUACCGGGAGAAUAAGCCCCGGCUAACUCCGUG